GACGAACGCUGGCGGCGUGCUUAACACAUGCAAGUCGAACGGAAAGGCCCUGCUUUUGUGGGGUGCUCGAGUGGCGAACGGGUGAGUAACACGUGAGUAACCUGCCCUUGACUUUGGGAUAACUUCAGGAAACUGGGGCUAAUACCGGAUAGGAGCUCCUGCUGCAUGGUGGGGGUUGGAAAGUUUCGGCGGUUGGGGAUGGACUCGGGGCUUAUCAGCUUGUUGGUGGGGUAGUGGCUUACCAAGGCUUUGACGGGUAGCCGGCCUGAGAGGGUGACCGGCACAUUGGGACUGAGAUACGGCCCAGACUCCUACGGGAGGCAGCAGUGGGGAAUAUUGCACAAUGGGCGGAAGCCUGAUGCAGCAACGCCGCGUGCGGGAUGACGGCCUUCGGGUUGUAAACCGCUUUCGCCUGUGACGAAGCGUGAGUGACGGUAAUGGGUAAAGAAGCACCGGCUAACUACGUG
rnacentral:rRNA from 1 species